UCCUACGGGAGGCAGCAGUGGGGAAUAUUGCACAAUGGGCGAAAGCCUGAUGCAGCGACGCCGCGUGAGGGAUGACGGCCUUCGGGUUGUAAACCUCUUUCAGUAAGGAAGAAGCGAAAGUGACGGUACUUGCAGAAGAAGCGCCGGCUAACUACGUGCCAGCAGCCGCGGUAAUA
rnacentral:rRNA from 1 species